AGGAAGGAAACCUCAGGAGGUCCAGCUGUCUGAGACUCAGUCCUGUAGAUGCCGAUGGGAACGUGUCCUACUGUGGAGCACAACAUCUGGCAGAUGUUCAAAACGGUUUCAUGAAAGGCAGCACAAUUUCAGAAGGGGAUUACCUGGUACAAGAGUGUGUCCAGCAUGCCAACACUGAACACCCUACCAGCUGCAAACGGCAGGAGAAGCACAAUUGGGUAGAUCUCAUUCUGUGGUCUGUAUGAGGCUCGUAAUGGGAGAAUGAAGUUGUACAAGCCAUUUCCUGCUACCUCAGCAGACACUAUGACGAAGAACCAACCUUUCACUGCAUUCAUCUCCACUCACAUGGAUUCUUGGAUACUCUGACCGAUCACUGGACACGUCAUCAGUCUGUAAGAUGGGAGGAGCUGGGAUUUGUAGAACAGCAGAUGUGAGCGUGCUUUGCCAGCCAGCAGUUCAGAAACACUGGGAUGAAGAGGUUCCGGAGUGGUCGAUAAAAAAUCUGUUAUGGUGAAGAGCACUCAAUUUAACCUUGACAAAAUGCUUUUCUUAAGUUACUUAAACAUGAGUCAGUCUAGACUUGAGUCACUCGAGAACUUUGCUGACUGUAAAAAUUAACCAUCUAAAUUGGCAAUUUGUUGAAGCAAAUGUAUUUGCAUGGACUUUAAACCUUUUACAGUUACUGUACUACUGUAACUGUAAAUGACAAUACUUACUGAAAUGAGAAAUGGCACUGAGUCAAUCAUUUCCAGGAUAAAUGUUAUUCGAAAAAUCUGCUGCCUUAUGUUCCCCUAAGAUCAGUACAUAAAAAACAGAUAUAGCACAGAUGGUUACAGUAGUUGAGUGAAAAUAACAAUAAGUGCCUGAACACUGUACUCUUAUCAUGUAUUUAAUUCUUCACACUGAGAGUUGGUAUUUUUUUUAGGAAUCAUAUAGUUUGUUGCACCUGUUUUCAUGUCACUAUUGAAUGAUUAUGCUAGUAAAUUAAGCAGACAAAGGAUAUUGUAUAGGAUAAUAGUAUUAAAAAUAAUACCUUGUAGCUUAAAUACAUCACUAGGAUUCUUGGGAACAGACAUGCGAUGGCAACAGACACCUAAAGGACAGAACGUCAAAUUAAAUUUCCAUAUGUACAACAUAUAUUAUUACUAAUCACUUUAACAGUCAGAUAUUACAUAGACCCUUUUACAGCCCACGUGAUCAAAUAGUUGCACGCGCAUUUUGGCAAUGGAAGUGCCGUUGUUUCCCAGUGGUAUUCAUAAGCAAACAGUGACUUUUUAUAGCGCCUUUCCAUGGCUCAAGGCCGCUUCACAUAGUAUAAUACAGUACAUUAACACCUCCACCUAUACAAUACAACACAUAAGACCAUAUACACAAUACAAACACAUUAGAUCAGAUUCAACAACAUUAUCCAUAAUAACUAUUGAAGAGAUACGUUUUAAGUUGGGCCUUAAAGGUAGACAAAGUUGGUAUUGUACGAAGUGAAAGGGGUAGGGAAUUCCAUAGUUUGGGUGCAUUAACACUAAAGGACCUACCACCUACGGUGGACAGACGAAAACGGGGAAUGGACAAAAGACCAAGCUCAGAUGAUCUGAGGGACCGGGCAGGAGAAUAGGGGCAGAGAAGGUCAGACAGGUAUGGAGGUGCAAGACCAUGUAAUGACUUAAAUGUGAGAAGCAAUAUCUUAAAGUGAAUGAGUAACGCCACAGGUAGCCACUGAAGAUCAAGCAGUAGUGGUGUAAUGUGAGCAGAACGCCUGCUCUUAUAUGCUCUUAAUUUCUCUCGGGUGUAUAUCUAGCCACUGUACAUUUGUCCAUCUGCUAACAUCUUCUAU